GGGGCAGCAAGGGCGCGCUGGAGGCGGCGGCCAAGACUCCCGCCGCCGCCGCCGCCAACAGGGCGAGGGCUGCCGGCAACUCUCCCGCCGGGCCCCCGCACCCCCAGAAGCCGAGGUCCGAGCAGCCGCCGCUGCUUUGGGUGGGGGGCUGACAGGGCUGCGCGCGUCGCGCUCUUGGCUGGGGCUGCGCGGGCCCGGGGCGCUGCGGGCGGCUCAGCGGCAGCUGCCGCGCUCUGCGCCUCCUCUGGGCGCACUGCCUGGGAGCACGAGACUGGUUUGUCUGAUGCUGCUGCCGGAGCUGAGGUCUUGCCUGGAGAUCCGAACGAGACACCACGUCAACCGGCGCGGGGAGUCCCGUGAAGACAUGAGGGCGCCAGGAGCGCAGUACUGGAAUACCUGAGUUUUGGCUGGGCACAGAACUGUCUGGAAUACAGACUGCAAUUCCCAGCCUUCUGUGCAGUUCUGUGUGGCCAUGUGACUAAGUUGUGGUCAAUAUGAGUCACGGAAGAAUAGAAGAACAACUCAGAGGAGGAAGAAGUCAGACAUAGCCAGACACGGCUGCUAGCAGUUCCACCAAUGAAAGAGGAGACCAGGAUGUUUAAAACAGGCAAACACAAGGUGCGAAAAACCAGAAGCGAAAACUUCUGAGGUCAUUUAAGCAAGGACUAUCGUUAUCCCCGGAAGCAGAGAGAAGUUCCCUUUGCCCAACAUCACACUGCAAGCACGUGUUGGAGCUGAGAUUCAAACCCAGGCAUCCAGGGUCCAGGGCCCAUGCUUUUAAUAUAUUCCAUAUCUUAGGAGAAUUUCCCCUAUUUAAACAAUAAAAGUGCAAAAAUCUUGUGGCUAGCCAAAAUUUUCAGUUGUUUGGAAAACUUAUUUAUCCAAUAAGUGGAAAACUCACUUGUCCUCCAACAAUUCUGGAUAAAUGAAAGAACGAAUUGAACUGAGACUGGAAUCCGGGUCUCCCAGUACUUUGUAGUUCCUAUCCAUAUGGCUUGUCAGGAAGGCCACAGGGAGGUUAACUAACUCUGCGUAACCAGAAACAAUCCCACAUCAGACUGUUGGCAGUGGGAGUGGAACACUCAGAGCUGAACCGCAUGCAAGAUGGUUGCAUUUUCAUUUGCAAUGUCGUCAUCUUCCUCAUGGCUAAAGAGGUAUUUUGGAGUUGACAUGAAGGCUACUGUAAUUUUUAGAGGCAUUUUCUUUCUGGCCUGUAUUUACAUAUUGUGGUAGAAGAGUCAGAAGACUUCAAGCUUCAAAAGUGAAUCUUGUUGCGAGUUACAAAAGCACCACCCGGUGGGGUGCAGCUCUCAGCAUGUGUCACCACAGGCACUGUGAUUUCCCUGUCUUCAUCCAACUUUGGUUGCUGUUCUUCAUGCUCAGGAAUUCUGCAACUGCUGUAGCUUUUGCUGUUGUUAUGUCUGUAGGUAUGGACUCAUUUCUACCAUUCUGGAAUGAAACAUUAUUUCAAGGGAAGCUUCUCAUUGUAAAAGGUCCACACAUUCAGAAGGAAACUGGGAGUACAUUUUCUCAUAGGCCUGGAGCAUUAACUGACUAUGCAUCUUUCCCCUCAGUGUUGUCAUCAUGUUGUAAGGGGAUGAGUCAUGGACAACAUUUUCACACACAUACGUGAGGUCCAUUGACCAGUCUUUAGGACAACUAGAAAUCUUUUCUUUCUUUGUUUUAAAAAGGAAGACAAGUCAAGAUACAGCAAAUAAAAAUGCUCAGCACAUUUGCUGAAAUCUUAGCAAAAUCAAAUUACUAGUAAUUUGUUAAUCACACUAUACCUGUUUUGAGCCAAUCCUACUUAACCCACCCUCCAUCUUCCUCAUGCUUGCCUCCCUGGUGAACUCCUAUUUAUGUUACAAAGCUCAGUGUUUAUGUUACUACUUUUGUGCUAUUUCUGAACGUUAAAUGUACCUCUAUUAUAGAACAUAUCUCAUGGAAUAGUUAUUAUUGCAUAUCCACUGCCCUUGUUAGGCUGUGAGUGAGCUUUCUUUCUUUCUUUUUCUUUCCUUCCCUCCUUCCUUCCCUACUUCCUCCCUCCCUCCCUCUCUCCCUCCCUCCCUCUCUCCCUCCCUCCCUUCCUUCCUUUGCUCCUUCUCUCUUUCUCUCUUUUUCAUUUCUUUUCUUUUUUUUUAAAUUUGAGACAGGGUGUCACAAAUAUGAAUGGGACCUGUGAAUAUGAUGGCUGUCACUCUCUGAUUAGAUUACAUUAUAUGGCUAAGGUGAAGGAAUUCUGCAGAUGUAAUUAAGGUCCCAGAUGAGUUGAUAUUGAGUUACUCACAAAGGAGAUUAUACUGGAUGGCCCUACCUUAAUCAGGGAAAAGCCCUUAAAAGAGGACUGGGCCUUUCCUGAAGGAGGACAGUCCACUGCUGGCUUUGAAGCAGUAAGCAGCUGUGUUUUAAGGGGGCCUAUGGAGGGGCCCAUGUGGCAAGGUCCUGAGGGUGGCCUCUAGGAGUUGGCAGCAGUUCCCAGCCACUGGCUAGCAAGAAAACAGGUGGUUCAGCCACAUAGCCACAAGGAAAUGAAUUCUACCAACAAUCCAAAUGAGCUUGGAAGUGGAUAUUUUCCAUGGUCAAGCCUCCAGACGAACACCUUAACUGUAACAUAUGAACAGCUGAGCAGAGGACCUGCUUCAGCCAUGCCUGGACUCCUGACUUGUGGAAACUGAGAUAACAAAUGUAUAUUAUUUUAAGCUGGUAAGGUUGUGGUAAUUUGUUAUGCAACAAUGCCGAAUACAGUAGGCAUCUUAAAUGUUUGUUGAACUUAAUUUAAUCAGGGAAAUAUAAUAUUUAAAAGGAAUCUUUUCUAAAGUUUUAGCCAAUUUAAUGAAUGUAGAUAUCUUAAAGAAUUGCCAUCUUCCUUUGGAUCUUCUAGCCAUGCAAUCGACUUCACAAACUUCCAAGUUUUCAUAAAUACCAGCUUCUGAUUGUCUGGAAACAGGAAGUGAGAUUCUCUCCAGCCAUCAUUUGGCAUUCUUGGGAGAUAGAAUGGAUAAAAAUUGAUGUUGAAAUGAGACCACCAUCAUUUUUCAGUCUGCUCACCACGUACAGAGCUCAGGAUGAUUAGAAAAUGUAAAACACAUGUGAGUGGCUCAAACCCCUUUAGUUAAAUCACAUUUACAUAGAUCAGUUUUCCCAAGGGAUAUAAGUUAGCUGAACUUAAGCAAUUAAAAAAAAUAAAACUAAACUAAAACCUUUUGCUAAAGCCAAAAAACAUGGAUGAGUUAAACUGUAUCAGAUGGAAUGGUUUGUUUUGAAAAGUGUUUGGUUUGUUGUCUAUAUACGUGCGUGCUUUUUUAAAAGGCAGAUAGAAAAGCAGAACUUACAAGACCUUUAGCUGCUGAGGUGGAAAGCCAGUAUUACUUCUACCACAGCAGUUGAUAUCAUCGGUCUCACCAGCAGGUCACGGAUUUGUUGCUUGCUCCCUGUGACAAUCUUGAACCAUUGUAGGGACCUUGGCAUAUAGAGGGACGGUGAACAGGGCUGAAAACAAAAUUGAACUCAAUCUUGAGCUUGGUAUUCCACCGAGAGCAGGUUUUCUGGGCUUUGAAAUACCGCCUCAGAGAGACCUUCCUUGAUAUUCUGCCAUGUUGAGAACAAGAACAAACUUUUUGGCCCUGGAACCUCUUCCCUCCCAGUGCCAACAUGUUCAAUUUCAUUUGCCCUUGGCUAAAUGUAGCUUCCUGUUUCUAAGAAAAGAAGCAGAAAGGGGCUUUUGAAGGCCUCACAGACAGUCUCAGAAGGCUUCAUGGGCAGCAGACAACUCUUAGCAAACAACAAUUUGAUGAGUUAAGUGUAAACGGCUCAGAGACAUAUGGAUUACAUUUUUUGGGAAAUACACAUGGGCUUACAAUGUAAAACUGGGUAGUGUGGGGUGGGGUGGAGAAGGGAAUGCUUGGAAAAGUGUGGUUUGGGUCUUGCUAAUUGCAAAAUAUUUGAAACAAAUAAUUUGAGAUGUUUUGCUCAACGUACAGCGCGGUUGGAUUUGCCCUUUCCAUCUAUUUACGUGUCAUUUUCAGAUUCGGCUCACAUACCAAUACUGGUUUGGGUCUUGAGUUGAUUUUUAAAAAUGCAGUUAUUUUGAAAGGUCAUGCCAUGUGAUUUCUGUGUAGCCUCUGAGCAUAAAGGGUGGGGUGGUAUAGGGGAAGAACUGGGCAUUUAGAAACCUCUCUGCCUGUAGGUCAAACUGCUGCUCAGCUCUUCUGGUAUAUUCUACUUAUGGAGGUUCCAAAUCCAGGCUGUGUUAGUAAGAUGCAGCAGCCUCAGUCUCCCCACCUGUAAAAUGGGGACAGUAAUACUUAUCCCAGAACCCAUGGCGAUUGGGAUGCUGUGUGGUGUGGAGUUAAAGUGUGGACCCUGGAGGCAUAUACCUGUGCAUAUCCCAGCUCUGCUGCUGAUGUGAGCUUGGGCAAGUUCUUCAGCUUCCCUGGGCUUUUGUUUCUUCAUCUGUGUAAUGAGGAAUAUCUUAGCAUCCACCACAUAGGGUUACCUUGAGAAUUAAAAGAUUUAACCCAGUCCCCGGCACACAAUAAGUGUUCAGCAAAUGCUAACAGUGGCUCUUGUUGUUUAUAAUUUAUCUUGUUCUAUUAAGUAUAUGAAUACAGUAGAUAAUAAGGCAAAUUCACCUCCAGGCUGGGGAGAGGAAUAGCCCCUUACCAAACAGUGAGGGUCUCCUUCAGCUUACCUUCUUUUUCUUAUUGUUUCAACCUAUGGAUUAAUUACCUAGUUUUGUGACCCCAAAAUAAAAGGGUAGAUUCCUUGAUCUAAAAUUAGACUCAUCUUUUCCCUAUCCUAGGAAGGAUCCGUUUCUCUCUUCUAUUUUACCACUGUCUAGCACCUGGAGACACUUGGUUUAAGAGCCCAGCUAGUUUAUACUAGAGUGUGAGGGAAUUCUGAGGGCUCAGGUGGAAGGAAAGCAUGAUUCCAGAGUGUUGUUGGGUUAAUGCAUUGCUUCUCAACCCUUCCUGCACAUUAGAAUGAAUUGAGAAGCAUUUCAAAAAUAAUAGAAAUGUUAGUGUGGGGCUUCGGUAUUAGUACAUUUUUUAACUCCCCAGCUGCUUCUAUUGCGCAGCCAGGACUGAGAACCACCCUGGCUAAGGCAUUCAGUGGCAUUGUAGGUGCUUCCCUGGGUCGUUUCUGACUCGCCCCUUUUAACUCACUGGCCCCUCGGACUCUGAUUUCUGCCCUUCAUGCAGUGGGAGAGCUUUCCUCUGGGGCUUGCCUUGAGGUCUGCAGGAGCAAGGCCACUUCCUCUCUGAAUCCUAGACACAGGCUUUGGGUCAGUACUCCCACCCACGUGGAGCCCCCUUCUGCCCCUCUGCUCUGGGGGAUCUUGUCUGAAUCCAUCCCUUCUUUGCCUGCCUUAUGCCUUCUAGCUACUAUUCCUCUGCCCUUCCUUUCUUGAUCAGCACAAUUCUGCUGCUUUAAGUCCUUUUUUCCAUUAACCAUUGACUGCCCUUUGCUCUGUCAAACAUAGUUUUGGAGGCUGUGUAGUGUAGUGAAAGAACAGGGAAUUUGAGGUUGGACCUGGGUUUAACUCUCUCCUUGAUUGCUGACAAGUUACUUAACCUCUACUCAUUUGUAAACUAGGAAUAAUCUGACCUGGAUGAGACUGCUGUGAAGAUGAAAAGAGGUAAAGGAGGGGUGAUGGUGUGGUAGUGGUGGCCUGGUGAGAAUGACGGUGGUGGAGUGAUGGUGAUAAUGAGAAUGAUGAUAAUGGUAAUGGCGGUGUUGCGGUGAGGGUGUUGAUGUGGUGGUAGUGCUGAUUUUCGUGGCAGGUGAUGGCUAUAGUGAUAGGGGUGGUGGUGAUGAUGGUGGUGGUAGUUGUAAUGGUGACUGUGAUGGUGGUGUUGAUGAUACUGGUGAUAGCAGUAAUGGUAGUGAUGAUGGUAAUGAUGGUGUUAAUGAUGGUGGUUUGAUGGUGGUGAACAUGACAGUGGAGGUGGUUGUAGUAAUGAUGAUAAUGAUUUGGUGGUGGUGGUAGUUGUGGUGGUGGUGGUGAUGGUGGCAGUGGUUUAGUGGUAAAAGUUCAGUCAAGAAAGAAGAAAGCUGGAGGAACCAACAGUAUUCUGAUCAGAGGAACCACAUGGGAAGCAUUGACAGAGGGUCUUUGCAUUUGCUAAGGCCAUGGGAGUAGCUGGUUGUAUCAGUUAGCAUUUGAUCAGGAAAUCAGAGCUACUCUGUAUGACACGGAAUAAGGGAUUAAUCAUAGGGAUUAAACUUACCCAUUAUGAAAACUAGUAAAAAAGUCUAGGCAAGGCUGUUGCCUCUGUAUCUGGUGUUGGGCUUGACGUUUCUUUGGGUCAGCAGGGCUUACAGAUGGGACAGAAAGUGGAUGGAAAGGGGAGAGCAAGAACAAACUGGACCAUGUCUCUGACUCUCACCACCUGCAGUGGUAACACAGUGACCUGCAGGAAAAGCCAAUGCCUCUCAUCUCAGGCCUGGACAUGCACCUGGGUCAGGACUCUGGGCUGGAGGAGACCCAGGGAGCCGGAGGUACUGGAGCCCUGCUCCAUCAAGGUGAGGCAGCAGGUCUGAGAUAUAUGUGAGCUGCUGCUGCGCCGGGUCCCUAAUUAAACCUCCUGAGUGGAAUGGCUACUGCUUCCCUUCUGCCUUCCAAUCUUCUCACAGAUUUCUCUUGUUGCCAGCUUUAAUCUGGAACCAUAGAGGAAGGAACUUUGGGAAAUGUGGUUCCUGCUUAGUUCUGGUGGCACAGCACAAGUCACUGCCGAGGGGUCCCCAUGUGGAUUGGAUGGGUUAAAAGCUUCAGCACCUGUAGUGGCCUGUGCAGUCUACUUGCUCUGACAUUUCAAGCCUGGAGAGGCAAGGGGGACAAGAGCUGAGCUGAGGGCCAUGCCAGGGAACUGGACAAGGAAGGCCUUGGCACUCUCAAGUCAGGGAAUAGCCUCGCCAUUUCAUCUCAUCCCCAGAUGCUGGAGUGCGUUGGUCUCCCUUCUAACCUCUAACCACUGAAAGGGACCCUCUGUACAACCAAUCCUUGACUUUGGAAUCAUGGGCUGAGUAAGGCUGAAACAUUUAGCCGUCUUUGGGACCCCAGUAUUUCCCUAGUCUCACUCUAGUGUCUCUUGAAGUGGCUGUCUUUCAAGGUGUUGACCCUACUCCCUGUUUCUAACAUCUGCCUGCUACAUAAUCCAGCUGGACUUCUCAGGUAUCCCUGGUGGCUGAACUCCUUAGACCAGGGAGCUCCCCUAGUGCCUCUAGUGCUGACAAAGUGCCACUUUGCAACAGUUUCUGCCCUUUUCCCGGUUCUCUGGCUUCUAAAGCCUUCAUUUAUCCACAGAUAGAAAUACAAUCAAUCCCAUCCUUACUCUUUCUUUUGACAAUUUUCUUCAUCAGAUAUACACUUAGAAUUUAACUCAACUGUGUUCUCUCCUAUUUUGUCGGUCACUGCUGUAACUUACAUGGAAUCAUGGUUGGGUGGCAGGGACUGAAGUAGUUAGUUCUCACUUAUUUACUGUGAAAUGAAUAGUUUGAGAUUCGGUCAGUAGUCAGAAUGGUAUUCUUCACUUCCUCCUUUUCUUUAUUUACUAUGCUACCUGGUUUGUGAACAUUUUCUCCAGCUGCAAGCAAUUUACACAAACUGUAAACUCUUUAUCCAUUAUAAUCCCUGUAACUAUGCCUAGAGACUGGAAAAUGACCAGUUGUCAUUACAUUCGGAAAAGCAUAGAAAGGAUCUCCUUACUUGUGGCCCUACACCUGGUACUUUUCAGAUAGUAGAUGAGUUAUUAGGAUGAUUUGCACCUCAGUUUUCUUAUCUGUAAAAUGGGAGGGUUGCCUUGCAUUUCAUGCUGUGUUCUUUGAUGCCCUGGGGGAUUGCCGGAUUGCCAGAGGACUCAUUGGGAAUUUGGGGAUGGGGAAGAGCAUGUGUCUAGAGGGCCUUCAUCCCUCAUUCAACUAGCAAAAAGCCACUUAUUCUGUGUUAUAUAUUUGGUUUCUAUGAGAGAUUGGAUUAUUGGUCAGCAAUAAAAAUCACUCCCUUCCUUCUUCCUCUUGGAGCAGACCGUAACUCCCCUGUUCUACUGACUUUGGGCUUGGCUAUAUGACUAACUUUGGCCAAUGAAAUGUGGGAGGAUGUGAUGUGAAUAGAGGCUUUAAAUGUACUUGCAUGGUUUGGCUUACCUCUUGUACUCUUCUGUUUGCUGUGAGAAUAUGCUGCAGGGAGCCACUGGUCCAAGGAGAAGAAGAGGGGUGUAGAACAGACCUAAACCCAACCUGUAGCCUGAAACAGAGCCGAGUCCAGCCUAGAUCCACUUAUAGUCAACCUGUUGAUCUGUUAGCACAAAAACACAUGCUGCCAUAAGCUGUUGUGUUUUGUUACACAGCUAUAGCUGUCUAAUUCAGCUUACAAAUAAGUUUUGUCCAUAAUCAUAUUUUUUGGUUUAAAAAAGUUUGAAAACCACUGGGUUUGCUGAGUUUUCAGCUUUCCCAUCCACUUCUACUGUCCUGUUUCUUUCUCUUUGUGUAUUUAGGAAAGAGAGGGAGAAAGAAAGGGUUUUGGAAACAACACAGUCUGGUAGAAAGAAAGAAAGGAUAAUUUUUUUCUUUUGAGGAAAGAGGGACUUAGGGAGCUGGGAGGAGAGAUAGGCACAUUCAUAGUUAAAGUAUGUUUUGUUUCUUUUUUGAACCCUCAAGUAAACAUUUCUCCACUGACAUUGUUUUGCACUGUUACAUUAUUUUGUUCACUUUAGUGUUCCAUUUGUACAACCUCUGAAAUUCCAGGAAGAAGGUGAAAGAAUAACAUUGCACAUAGCCCUGGGUUGUGCUGUGUUUACUUCAUGAUGGACCGUUCACUUGGGCUUAACCUUAAACUGACCUUUCUGAUUCCAGACGAGACAGCAAAGCUUUGCUCACAGAUUCAAAAUCAGGGAACAGAAACAGCUGACUUCCCUGGCCAAGGAUGUUUUCCAUUCUCAUUAUUUUUGUCCGUGGUCACAAAUGAGAUGCUAGGGAAGUAAUUUUUAGGAAUUCCUGGAGUACUUUACUUCUGAUGUGCAUGCACAGAUACCCUGGGGUCUUAUGCAAUUGGUACCCCACCCCAAAGUCUGGAUAUAUUCGUUGUAGGAUGAAGAGAGGGAGGAAGGAAGGAGGACUGAGGAAGGUCUUAGGCUAUUUUCAAGCUCUUUUUUGCUCCGCACUUUGCAACAUGGUUUUAUUUUAUUCUUAUAAGUUUUGAGAUCAUCUCAAAUAUAAAUACAAAACCAUUGAUCAAAGGCCAAGAAUAAGAAAUAUUUAGAUGCCCUCUAUUGCAGUGAAAAAGCAAAUGGUUGCUAUAUCAUGCGUAAAGGUAAUCUCUUCAAGGAUUAGCACUUUAGGUCAGAUCAUGGAAGCCUGGUUUUGUUUCUCAGAAAGAGUGUCUUUCUGGGGCUUGGGAGGCCAACACGAGGCAGGCUGAGCUUUGUCUAUGGCAGGAGCUGAGUUUGAGUCUAUCUCUGCCAUUAGCCUGUGCUCAGGUUGUGUCCCUACACUGAUGGCCAUCAGAAUUUGGGUAUCAAGUGAUUCGCUUGCUUGUACUAGAUUGAGCUCCUUUGAGGACAACAGGAGCCAUUAAUAUUUUAGAGCCAGAGGCCAGGCAUGGUGGCUCACGCCUGUAAUCCCAGCACUUUGGGAGGCUGAGGCGGGCGGAUCACAAGGUCAGGAGAUCGAGACCAUCCUGGCUAACAUGGUGAAACCCCAUUUCUAUGAAAAAUACAAAAAAUUAACUGGGUGUGGUGGUGUGCACCUGUAAUCCCAGCUACUUGGGGGGCUGAGGUGGGAGAAUCACUUGAAUCCGGGAGACAGAGGUUGUAGUGAGCUGAGAUCACACCAUUGCAUUCCAGCCUGGGCGACAGAGCGAGAUUCCAUCUCAAAAAAAAAAGAACUUAGAAUCUGGACUGGUAUAAGCCUUAAUUCAAAUGCCAUCUUUGCCCUGUACAAACUGUGUGACCUUGGGCAAAUAACCAGUUCUUUGUUUCUUCACCUGUAAAAUGGGGAUAAUUAGUACUUUUCUCAUAGGGAUGCUGUGAAGAGUCAAAGAUAUAAUGGUUGUAGAGUGCUCAUCACAGAGCCUGGCAUGUUGUAUCUGCUCAUAUAUGUUAGCUAUCACCAUCAUUGCUGCUGCUGCUGUUUUUAUUAAUCUAGUCCUGGGAAUUUAUAUCAUGGAAAAAAGCCAAAAAAGUUAUAUGCUUAAAAAUGUGUAUUGCAUCUUGUCUAUAGCAAUGAGAAAUUAGAAACAAUCUAAGUGCCUCAUUCAUUCAGUCAAUUUAACAAAUAUUUUUUGAAGUCCUAUUAUAUGCCAGGCACUGUAUCCCACUGUUUGGGGUACAUCACUGAAUAAGAGAGACAAAGAUCCCUGCUUUUGUGAUGGAGAAUGGGUAGCUAAACUAUGGGACAAUAAUUCAAUGGAAUGUUAUACAGCUAUUAAAGCAAUAGCAAUGAAGACAUGGGAAGUUGUUUGUCGUGUCAUGUAAAAUCAAAAAGCAGAAGAGGAAAACAUAGAUGCCUUAAAAUAUAUGUGUGGGUGGACAGAGACUAGAAUGGAGCAUUUAAAAAUGCAAGUGGUUGUUAGAGUGAUGGAAUCAUGUUUUUUGUUUUUCAGUAAUGUUUGAAGUGGUUUUACAACAUUAUGGAAAAAAUACAUAUAUAUGCAUAAAUAAUUGAGAAAAAUGAACUGGCCCUAAGAGAAGUUUCUUAUGGUUUAGGAAUCAAAGUAAGGCUUAUAGGCAGAAGAGGAAAUUGCCUAGGUAGCAAGGAAGGAAAAAUUGCUAUUUCAAACCAAAAAUGACUGUUGCAGUUCCACUGUGCACUGGAAGCAUGGAAUUCAUGCCAAGGAUGUUAGUUCUUUGUUAAGGAAAACCUGUUAAGCAGAUGAGUAAAAGAGGCCCUGAAGCCUCUGGAGAGAGGAGAGUUCAGACUUAAACGUCUUUGUAUAAUAAAGUAACAGAAGAUUUCCAUUUUCCCUCAGCAGUUUGGGGAUGGAAGGGAGAAAUAGAGAUUCAGAGGCUGGAGAACUGGGAGAAGAUGAGUAAAGGAAAGAGCCAGCUAAAGAGGUUGGAAGAGAUGAGGCCACAAUAGCAACUUGAAGAACACUGAUAACUAAUACUCAAUUUUAAGAGAUUCCCUGUCCCAGGAGACCAUAUGUCUCCCCACUCUUACCUUCCCUCAGGAGUCUCCAAGAGGGCACUGUACCCCCAUGGGAUAGGGGUUGUUAUGGUUUGGAUGUCCCCACCCUAAUCUCCUGUUGAAUGUAAUCCCUAAUGUUGGAGGUGGGACCUGGUGGAAGGUGUUGGGAUCAGGGGGGUGGAUCCCUCAUGAAUGGCUUGGGCCAUCCCCUUGGUGAUAAGUGAGCUCUGGCUCUGAGUUCACAGAAGAUCUGGCCAUUUAAUAGUGUGUGACACCUGCCCCCACCCCUCUCUGUCUUGCUCCUGGUUUCACCAUGUGAUGUGCAAGCUCCCACUUUGCCUUCUGCCAUGAGUAAAAGCUCCCUGAGGGCUCCCUAGAAGCCAAGCAGAUGCUGGCACCAUGCUUCCUGUACAGCUUGCAGCACUGUGAGCCUGAAACUUUUCUUUAUAAAUUACUGACUUUCAGGUAUUUAUAGCAAUGCAAGAAUGACCUAACACAGGGGCUUGGGUCAUUUUGUUUGGUUAUUAAAAGAAGGCUGAUGUCAUAGAAUAUUCAGGGUUCACCUACACAGGGGGGAUCUGAGGGGUCAGAAGCUACCUGUUUCAAAUUGACUGCUUUUGGGGCCUGAAAUGGCUUCAUUGCCACCACUAGCAAUAUGAUCUUUUGCAAAUAGACAAUCUAGGAUCCCUGAUUUUUUAGGUGCAGCAAGGUCUGGGAGAAGUGUUGCUCUUCCAUGAAGACCUUAAGGAGAAUGAUUCUGACAGAUCAUUGAUCUUCUGAGGCAGGAGGCUGAGCAGGUUUUUAUUAAUGGGUGGAGAAGGGAACAGUGAGCACACAGGAGAGUGAUACUGGGGCUUGGAGACUGGGAGGCGGGAGGCAGGUGGUGGGAGGAAGCCUUCUGCAGCCCAAAGUCUCUUAGGACAACUGGGGAGUGGUCUCUAGACUCUGAAUCCUGCUCCCAGGAGACCCUGUGGCUAUGCCCCUUUUGGGAAUGGUACUUAACUUAAAGGCCUGUAGAAUAACAACCUUGUAUGGCCUUGGAAAACCAAGGUGGGGGUGGGGAGGAGCUGUCUGCCCCAGGUGCAGGCUACAUUUAAAAAUGCUAAUAAAAUAAAGUAAAACAAACUGCUUUUUAUUAUCACCAUGUGCCAACAGUCAGUGAUAAACUACCCCUCCCUCCUGGGGCAGAUGGUUUGGGCCGUCCGCAUCCCCUAGUCUGGCCAGGCUGUGGGAUGGCAAACAGCCAAAGUAGGGGAUCCAGAAGGAGCACGUGCAGGAAGAAAACCCAGAUUCCUCACACUGGUAAAUAAGAGGCUUCUCAGGACUGAACUUGAAAAACAUGAGCCCCACCAAGGGCGGGACAAGAAAAUCCUCAGAAGACGGCUGAGCAGAGGUUAAGCAAACAUCGGUGCCAAGCCAGUGGCAGCUCGGAAAUGAAAGCCCAGAGAUGUGAUGAUUUUUAAGAGUUGAACUGAGCUGCAAGCUUGUGGAUCAUGUAAGUGCUAACAGAGGCAGACGGAGAAGGAAGAUCUGUCAUGAAGUGCUACGGUGGGAGGUGCGUCAGCUUGGGGUGGAGGGGUCCCAGGUGGCCCCAGGAGAAGAGGCCUCUGAACAAAGAAGACAAUGCUUGGGUUACGGUGGAAGGGACACGGAAGGGUCUGGAAUGCUGGAAGGAGCCAAGAGCAGAUGCCAUCUUGGUGAUGUGUUUCAUCUUCAGGACCUGAGACCCAUCUGGUCAAAUAUUUGUGUGUAUAUGCAAAAUUUUAGGUCAUUUGUUAAAAGGAGCUCAUGAAUACAUGUCCUUGACUUCCCAGAGAUGGAAAAAACACUUCUCUCCGCCAAAGAACUUCCAAAUAGUGCUUCUAGCCUAUGCUCCUCAUCAGUGUCCAUGUCUCUCAGAUGUCUCUAGUUUUGGUUGAGGAAUGAGGAAAUGUGGUUGCCUCCUUUUAUUGGCUGAUUCGUCUGCUGAGCUCCUAACUUCUUAGCUAAUCUAGGUGAAACCAACCCUUGUCCUGGACCCUGGGCUUUUGUGGAGGACUGUCUUACUGUUCACAAAUACUCCGCCUUUUCCAUGAGAAGCUAAUUUAUCCCUGCCUGUUGAAAUUGGGCAUGGACAAUGACUUGCUUGGUUGUCUAAUAAAAUGUGAGCAGAAAGGAUAUGCGUCACUUCUGAGCCAAAAGUUUUCAGAGCCAGUGCAUGGUUGGCCAUGUUUUCUCUUGCCUUUGUAGGCACACAAUAAAUGUUUGUUGAAAAAAGAUGAAUAAAAGGAAAGAGCCCCAAUUAGGAGCUGGGUUAGCUGAGGCCUAUUCCCAGAGUUUCCACUAACUAGCUGUGGCAUAAUCAUUUGGCUACUCUACUGGCCAUAAAUGGUUCUUUGUUAUUUUGAAAUGGAGUCUCGCUCUGUCACCCAGGCUGGAAUGCAGUGGCAAAGCCUCUGCUCACUGCAACCUCCACCUCCUGGGUUCAAGCGAUUCUCCUGCCUCAGCCUCCCAAGUAGCUGGGAUUAUAGGUGCACACCGACACACCUGGCUAAUUUUUAUAUUUUUAGUAGAGACGGUGUUUCACCAUAUUGGCCAGGCUGGUCUUGAACUCCUGAUCUCAAGUGAUCUGUCAGCCUUGGGCUCCCAAAGUGCAUAAAUGGUUCUUAAGAUUUCUUUUUUUUUUUUUUUUUGAGAUGGGGGAGGGUCUUGCUAUGUUGCCCAGGCUAGUCUUGCACUGUUGGGUUCAGGCCAUACUCCUGCCUCAGCCUUGGAGUAGUUGGGAUUAUAGACGUGAGCCACCAUGCCCAGCUCAGGAUUCUUUCAUUUCUAAAACCCUGUGCAGAUAUUGCAGAAGUAAAGUGAUGAUUUUUGGAUGCUUAUUGGAAGUCUUGUUCAUGCUGGUGAAUGGGGAAAAGACUUUGGGUGGGGGUAGGGAGCACUGAUUGGCAAGUUAUUUUGUGUUUUUAAAACAAAAAUCGCUCUUCAGGGUGGUGCACUAUUCCCAGAUUUUCUCUGGAAGCUGUGUUCCAACACCUUUCUCAGACUUCCCCACACUCCCCCUCAGGACAUCAGAAGGAGGGCCCCCGAAUUCAUUCUUGCAGCAAAGAGCCUCAAGACUCUGCUCAGACCAGGAAAUGAGGGACCUGUUCCUACAAAUUGCUGUCAAAAUGUAUUCUUAAUAUUUGUUCUCUGGAGUCACUGUUUUGGUGACCUCAGUCCCUGGAGGCUCCUCCUGGGGGCGAUAGGAUGCCUUCAGAGGGGAGCUGACAGCCCUGUGUUGUGUCUGGGCUCGCGGGAGGCCAUCGCUGUGUCCAUUGGAGCCAGAUGUUUUCCCAGCCCUUAACCUGCUGUGGUUUCUUAGCUCAACGUCUCCAGUGCGACUCUCCCAUAACACCCAGCGCCAUCUUGUAGACGCGCUCAUGCUUCCGGACCGCGGGCGCCCCACCGGGAAGAGCGCUCCACGCUGAAGAGGAAGGAAACUUCACACUUAAUUCAUCAAAUUCAAACUGAGCUGUGGUGAAAGGAACGGGGCAGAGUGAAAGGAACACCCAUAUGCCCCAGAAGACCCCGGGGCAUCGCUGCCUUUCAGCUUCUUUUGCGCUUUCUGCAGCUCGUGUCACAUUCCAAGGACACUCAGCUCCGCACAUGCACAGAGGGCCGCGUCUGUCCCGGGGGCGUGUUACCUAAAACCAGGCGCUGACCUCCAGGUCAGGAACUCUUGAGUAUUUAAUCUCUCCGCCGUUCAUGGCUACCCGGGUGGCCUCUGAAAUAUUACUUAAUGUCUCUGGGUUCUGAUUUCCUCAAUUGUGUGGUACCCAGUGACCUUACGAUGACAUUUCACUACCUACGAAAAAUGGCGCCAUCUGAAUGUUUAGUCUUUACCUAGAAGUAUAAGAAGGGGUUUCUUGCCUGGGAAUGAUCCUGUGAAGCUGAGGUCACAGUUUAUCUUCUCAAUUAGGGCAGGGAUUAGUACAACAGAAGGUCAUUCGUCAAGAAAAAGGAAAGCUUCUCCCUUUCCAAAAAUGCAAGUAGUGAAACUUACAUUUCUCACUUUUCCCUGAUUGCUCAGAACUAAAUAUAAAAUUUAAUUGGCAAGUAUUUUAGCACUUAUUUUUAACAUAUUUUCUUUUGGUCAUAAUUUUUAAUUUUAUUAACCUUACUGAUUUGACAGGGUCAAAUCUAAAUAAAUAAUAAUAUUUUAUUUAUUAUACAAUACAUAAAUUUCUGCAUAGCUUGAAGGGACCUUGUGGAUUGUUAAAUCCAACUAUGUAGUUUACAGAUUAAGCAGUUAAAGUCUGCAGAGAAGGGACAGGACUAAAUGUCAUCAGCUUGUUAGUUCCAAAGCUGGGUGGGAAAAGCAGUUCUUCCUUCUGAUUCUUAGACCAAUAAUUCAUUCCUCCAUUCCAUAAUGACGAUUCUUAGAACGUGACCUUACCUGUAACAGUAGGGACAAAGCAAGACAAUUGUCUUUGAGUUUCAGGAACAGACUUUUUAGAAUUAAAUAGUUUCAGGUACAUGCUAUAGGGAAUUCAGUUGAUUUGUCCUGGUUAGAAAGCACUUUGUUCACACCUAUACAUAUGACUCUAGGUUAUGGGUUCUUCUGGAGUCUUCUGAACCUGCUGGGCAUUUCUGACUGGAUGAAAAUUAACAAAAGUCUAUGUUCAUCCUGAUGAAAAUUAGCAGCAGUUCAUCUUAGUUUAAUUGCCACAACGUGCAGCUAUGAGAGUAUGUAUAUUUUCAUUCACGUAUUUGAAAUAUUUAUGGAUUGUCUGUUAUAUGACUAGUACUAGGGGUUCUAUAAAUUUACCCAUAUAAUGUGUAUGUGUUAAAUAUAUAUUAUUAAUAUGGGUAAAUGUAAUAUGUUUAUAUAGGUAAAUGUAAUCUAUUUGGUAUGUAGAUACACAAAUUUAGAGUAUAUAACAGAUAUGUUUCUGUAUAGACAUAUAUUUUGGAGACAUUCUGUUGUCUGGCUUCUUUAUAUUCCCAUAUGUGCUCAAUUUCUGUAUUCCCUUUCCUGAUUCAUCGUUUUCUUCUAGUAUUGAAGUAGAAUAAAGGCAACCAUGUAUUGUGGAGCAGGGGGUACACAACACAAUUUUCAAGGACUCAUUUCUACCUCUACAGCCAUGCACAGCAGCCUUGCAGUUCAAAUCACGAAGCUACCACCCAUCUGAUGACAUUUUGCUGUCCUAAUCGGAAAGGGUAGCUUUAGACAAAAUGAACCAUCUUUUGAGGGCUGAACUUGCAAAUAUGUUCGUGUGUGUGUGUGUGUGUGUGU
rnacentral:lncRNA from 1 species